UACGUAUGGUGCAAGCGUUAAUCGGAAUUACUGGGCGUAAAGCGUGCGCAGGCGGUGAUGUAAGACAGUUGUGAAAGCCCCGGGCUUAACCUGGGAAUGGCCAUGGAAACUGGCGAACUGGAGUGUGGCAGAGGGGGGUGGAAUUCCGCGUGUAGCAGUGAAAUGCGUAGAGAUGCGGAGGAACACCGAUGGCGAAGGCAGCCCCCUGGGCUAGCACUGACGCUCAGGCACGAAAGCGUGGGGAGCAAACAGG
rnacentral:rRNA from 1 species